AGUGAACGCUGGCGGUAGACCUAACACAUGCAAGUCGAACGGCAGCACAGUAAGAGCUUGCUCUUACGGGUGGCGAGUGGCGGACGGGUGAGGAAUACAUCGGAAUCUACUUUUUCGUGGGGGAUAACGUAGGGAAACUUACGCUAAUACCGCAUACGACCUACGGGUGAAAGCAGGGGAUCUUCGGACCUUGCGCGAUUGAAUGAGCCGAUGUCGGAUUAGCUAGUUGGCGGGGUAAAGGCCCACCAAGGCGACGAUCCGUAGCUGGUCUGAGAGGAUGAUCAGCCACACUGGAACUGAGACACGGUCCAGACUCCUACGGGAGGCAGCAGUGGGGAAUAUUGGACAAAGGGCGCAAGCCUGAUCCAGCCAUACCGCGUGUGUGAAGAAGGCCUUCGGGUUAUAAAGCCCUUUUGUUGGGAAAGAAAAGCAGCAGGUUAAUACCCCGCUGUUCUGACGGUACCCAAAGAAUAAGCACCGGCUAACUUCGUG
rnacentral:rRNA from 1 species